UGGGGAAUAUUGGACAAUGGGCGAAAGCCUGAUCCAGCCAUGCCGCGUGUGUGAAGAAGGUCUUCGGAUUCUAAAGCACUUUAAGUUGGGAGGAAGGGCAUUAACCUAAUACGUUAGUGUUUUGACGUUACCGACAGAAUAAGCACCGGCUAACUCUGUGCCAGCAGCCGCGGUAAUACAGAGGGUGCAAGCGUUAAUCGGAAUUACUGGGCGUAAAGCGCGCGUAGGUGGUUUGUUAAGUUGGAUGUGAAAUCCCCGGGCUCAACCUGGGAACUGCAUUCAAAACUGACUGACUAGAGUAUGGUAGAGGGUGGUGGAAUUUCCUGUGUAGCGGUGAAAUGCGUAGAUAUAGGAAGGAACACCAGUGGCGAAGGCGACCACCUGGACUAAUACUGACACUGAGGUGCGAAAGCGUGGGGAGCAAACA
rnacentral:rRNA from 1 species